GCCCGCUUGGCUCACCGGUAGAGCGCCUCACUAGUAAAGUAAUUCAAGACUUGAAGCAAUGAGGAGGCAACUGGUUCGACUCCAGUAGUGGGCA